GGGAAGAUGGCUCAGCGGUAGAGCACUUGCCUUGCAUGCAUGAGGCCCUGGGUUCGAUUCCUCAGUACCA
rfam:Dipodomys ordii contig_56665, whole genome shotgun sequence.